ensembl:lncRNA
AGGGUUUGGGGCAAGUCUGGAGGGCCCCCUGGGAUGGGUCUGCCAAGGUUCUAGUGCAUGAGAAGCUGGGGAGCCUCCUGGGAAAUGAACUCAUCCUGUCGGGAGAGAGGCCAAGUCACAAAAACAUGUUCCAAGGACAGUCAGCCAGUGUCUGAGGAAGGGCUCGUUGAUUCUCUUAUUACUGGAAAACGUGUUCAAUACCCAGGGAUCACUCAGCACAAGGUCAAGAGCUGACUGUCAGCAAGAAAGAAAAGCAGAGCAAAGAAAUGAAGACCAUGUGAAAGGAAAACAUUGCUUUCAAGGCUCUGCCUACAAGGUCCACAUGAAAGAAGAUCCUGCCUAAAUGAAGCCAACAGAGAGAAAGAAUCCUGGAGAAAGUAAGAACCCUAGGCUUCAUGGCAUCCAUUGAGUGCCUGGAUCUGCCUGUUUCUGAAGCUGGAUCUGCAUUUCCCACCCGCCUAGAUUUUGCAAGCCAGCAAAUAUACUCUUCAUGUUUAAACCCACUUGAAUUGAUUUUCUAUUCUCUUACAACCAUGAGUCACACAAGGAGGAUGUUUUUC